CAUACCUAUACGUUGCCUCGGCGGAUCAGCCCGCGCCCUGUAAAAAGGGACGGCCCGCCCGAGGACCCUAAACUCUGUUUUUAGUGGAACUUCUGAGUAAAACAAACAAAUAAAUCAAAACUUUCAACAACGGAUCUCUUGGUUCUGGCAUCGAUGAAGAACGCAGCAAAAUGCGAUAAGUAAUGUGAAUUGCAGAAUUCAGUGAAUCAUCGAAUCUUUGAACGCACAUUGCGCCCGCCAGUAUUCUGGCGGGCAUGCCUGUUCGAGCGUCAUUUCAACCCUCAAGCUCAGCUUGGUGUUGGGACUCGCGGUAACCCGCGUUCCCCAAAUCGAUUGGCGGUCACGUCGAGCUUCCAUAGCGUAGUAAUCAUACACCUCGUUACUGGUAAUCGUCGCGGCCACGCCGUAAAACCCCAACUUCUGAAUGUUGACCUCGGAUCAGGUAGGAAUACCCGCUGAACUUAAGCAUAUCAAUAAGCGGAGGAA
rnacentral:rRNA from 1 species